rnacentral:lncRNA from 1 species
CGCCCACUUCAGGGGCACUUUAUUAUCCUUAGUGAGCCGCCGCUGCCACCACCAGCAUCACCCCUACCCUUUCCUCCAUGGCAACACAGACAGACAAACAGGAAGCAGCUGUUGCCAGGGAAACAGCCAGAAGGUCUGCAGUGCUAUAGUGUGGCAGAGAGUGUGAGUGAGGUGGCCAACACAAUACAAAAUUCCAACAAAACAGGGACACAUCCUGGAUUUUCCCCAUGCUUUUACAAAGAGCCUUCUGUAUUUUUACAUCUUUCCCUCGAACUGCAACCGUCCAUACUUUCAUUUUUGCUCUGUUUAUCCUGGUCAGUGCGCCAAAGCUUUCACAAUGGAUUUACAAGAAAGUCCCUGAAAGCUGCAGCACUUGUGGCAGGAUGCCGAGUCCAAUACACUCUCACUGUGCCUUCAGCAAAGGUAGUUAACCUAACACUACAAUGCAAUACCAGCUCAAGCUAUGGCAACAGGACUGAUGGGACCAUUUAAAAGUUCUUGUCAGCUUCCCAUACCUACACCUUUCUGAUGUUGGAUUAAGGAGUCUGUGUGAGAUCAUUUCUGUAACUUUCCAAACCAACGAUCAGAUGUUCACACCCACUUCACAACUUGAUUGACCAGCUGUGCAGAGGUGAGAAAGUAAGCUAGGUUUGAGCUUCUCUCUCUAUAGCGUGCUUCUUUCUAGGCAAUAUUUUACUUCACUUUUAUAUAUUAACACUUUUGCCUGCCAAUGUGGUCGGACGACCCAAAUUAAAAGUUUGAGCUGAUGGUGGCUCUACAGGGAAACGCAGGGGAAGAUUCAUAAUUUGGGAACAAUGAAUGUCUGUACAAAAUUACAUGGCAAUCCAUCCAAUAGUUGUUGAGAUGUUUCAGUCUGGACCAAAGUGGUGGACCGAUUGACCAACCGACAUUACUAUUAAGCCGUGCAGCUAGGAUGCUAAAAAUGACUACCUCUCUGAUACAGUCUUAACACAAAGCUUAAGCCCUUUACAAAGGCUGUAGUUGCUGCAGAUCAUUAUACUGUGAAUUAUGUUGUUAUCUCCCUGUUAAUUUCCUCUGCUGUGUAUGUAUCUGUUUGUGGUGUUCAGAUGGCAAUGUCAUAAGUAUCAUAAGUAAUUUUCCUUUUACAAGACACAGGUGGAUUUUACACACCGGGAGUUAUCGGAAGUCGAGUCAUCAAGUUUAAGUUUUGUACGUCAAUGAACAAUGUUGCUCAACCCUCCAACAAACCACAAAUCAAGGAAACUGUGACCUCACCAGCACUGUAGUCUAUGCAGAUUAUCACAGAAGAAAAGUUGUUAGAGGCUAAAGUUUGGAAGAACAGAACUUGUUCCAUAAAGAUACAGAAGAAUAAGAAUAGCUUCCUAAUGUGAUUCAUGAGUCAGUCCUGUUUUUCCAUUGGAUGAAGGUAGUGUUGAAUGUGUUUUUUUCUUUUGCCCUAUUUCUUGUUCCGACAUUCAUAAAAUGUGUUGACUUACCUAAUAACCUGCACAUGCUGCUUAGAAUAAAUUAAUCUAUUGAAUGCAUUUUAAAAAUAAAGGGCUCCAGUUUGUUUACUAGUUGAUACAGUAUGUGAAUGUGUGAGUUCACACGUAUCCUGUGUCGUAAUUCCUUUUGAGCAAUCUCAAAAACAUCUUGAUAAAAAAAACCACAGUGGUGACGUGAAAAGAUGGUAUAUCCUUGUAUCAUCUUAGCACACUGCCUCUUUUACAACACAUUGCAUCUCACACCUCUUCAACACGCAAAGAUCAUGGGUGGAUCUGACCAUGACAAACUUAUUUUGGGAUGAAUUCCAUGACAAUGUAUAAAAAUACUGCCAAAAGGAAGUGAUAUUUUUCUGUUUUUAGCUCAAACGUCAAGCUCAGAUGUGACAUGAGACAGAUGUCACGCACACUCUCUUCCCCACAUUCAACUUCUAAGAAUCACACUGAAUGAAGAAACCUUUAACCUUCAGCCUGAAUCCUCCUGAAGUAAAGAAAUUAUAAUUUUUUCUUCAUGAUCCUGCCUGACAGAAGUGGAUCUUUUGAAAUUUCAGUUCUGAGCUGCUAAAAUUUUACUGUACUUUAAAGUCCCCCGCCACUCAGAAAUAUGUUUUUCUUCUUGUUCCUACAGUUGGAUGUUUGAAUGGUGUAUGAGUCGAGUUUGACACUAGAAGGAUGUUUUCACAUUCAUCUGAUGGAAGUGGAAAGUUUGUCUGACCUCAUUGAACAUCUGAUCUUAAGGGGCGGGGCCAACCAGCAUGAUUUGUAACAUCACAAAUAGUUAAUAGAAAUAGAAAUCAAUGUUGGUCUACUAUGCAGCUUCUGCAAGUGUGAUGUAGAAACUUGAAGCCACCAUUGCACAUAGACUGAGAAUGGACUUUACAUUGAAGUAGGAGACAUCUUGUGUCCAGCAGGAAAACUUUAGAAUUGAACAACAUUUACAUAUUCAUAGAUUCUGUUUUUAAUAAUGCUUUUAAGGAUUUUAAUGUAGGAAUUAUAGUUGGGUUUUUUUCUGCAGAAAAAAACAGUCAGACAACCUUUAUUGUUCCCAGCAGACUAUUUGUAUAUAUGUCUAUAAUACAUGCAGGCAGGGAAUCUUUAAGCCUGAAAUCUCCUUUGUGGGAAUGUAAACAAAUAUAAAUACAUUAUUCAAACAGUAUCUACAUUUCAGCAGUAAUAUUUGAGCCUCCCACCACUGACUGAUAGUUUUGAAUAAAUUUUUUCCAGUGUUCACCACAUUUGUUGUAAACAAGCUGAAGUUAUGUACCGAGUUGUACCCUGUACAGUUCUGACUUAUAUAAACACAGAAAGUUGUAACAACUUCUUGUGUGACAAAUAGUUAUCAAUCUGAAUACAGAUAGGAACACUGAUAUUUAUGUGACAUAAACAGAUUUUUGCAGUUCCUUAGAUCUCUCUCAUAACUGACAGGACUACAGUUGAUUAUAUUCUGAUGGACGCACACCCACACAGCCACUGGCGGCAGUGGCGUGAAGUUAGUGGUUUCUGUUUGCAUCAUUGUUGUUUUAUUUUUUUUAAAUCGGUUUUGUAUCUUUACUAAAUCUUUGAAGUGCUUUGGGAUUUCAAGAAACUGCAGUAAAGUUUCCUUUUGGGGAUGAAUAAAAUGAUUGACUGGUCGAUUCAUGCCUCAGACUAAGGAUUUUUGUGGCUCUGGCCCAUUGCAUACAAAUGUUGAUUUCCUACUUUGCAGAGAGCUUGGUUUCGGUUCAGUUCAGUUUUUAGUUUUUUUUUUUUCAGUUAGUUUAGUUAUUAUUUCAAGCAUGUCAACAAAAUGCAUGAGCUGAAAUCAACAGCUUAGAUGACCUUGAUAAUCAUAGAAACUUGUGAUGCUUUGUAGGCAGUAAUGUUCAGUACACACAAG